UGCUCUGAUGGCGAACGGCCCGGGGUUUCAGCUCAGUUUCCUCCUUACCCCUGUGUAAGCAAGAACCCAGGAAUGAGUGUUUUCUUUCUCCCACGCUUUCUGCUCCAGCAGCGAGCUUGCAACCUAUGCCUAGAAGCUCAUCUUCAAGGACAGAACUCCGUGGAUAAGGAACAGAUCCAGAUGUAGAACUCUCAGCUCCUUCUCCAGCACCGUGUCUGCCUGAGUGCCGCCAUGCUUCCCACCAUGAUGACAAUGGACUGAACCUCAGAAACUGUACGCCAGCUCAGUUAAAUGUUUUCCUUUAUAUGCCAUGGGCAUGGUGUCUCUUCACAGCAAUAGAAACCCUAACUAUGACAA